rnacentral:rRNA from 1 species
CGGAGGAUGCAAGCGUUAUCCGGAUUCAUUGGGUUUAAAGGGUGCGUAGGCGGACUUGUAAGUCAGGGGUGAAAUCCGGCAGCUCAACUGUCGAACUGCCUCUGAUACUGCAGGUCUUGAGUCAACAUGAAGCAGGCGGAAUAUGACAUGUAGCGGUGAAAUGCAUAGAUAUGUCAUAGAACACCGAUAGCGAAGGCAGCCUGCUAAAGUUGUACUGACGCUGAUGCACGAAAGCGUGGGUAGCGAACAGGAUUAGAUACCCUGGUAGUCCACGCCGUAAACGAUGAUCACUCGCUGCAUGCGAUAGACAGUAUGUGGCCAAGCGAAAGCGUUAAGUGAUCCACCUGGGGAAUACGAUCGCAAGGUUG